UGUCAAGGCACAAAUAGAAAA
ensembl:piRNA 21ur-13153 ncRNA